UUUUUUUUAAGCCUUCUAGCCCAAAAUGAAAAUUCUUUAACAAAAGUUUAUUUUAUUGAGUAAUCUUUGUACUGGCAACUAACACAGGCAAAAAGGAUGCUCCUGUUUUAACAGCAGUCCAUUUGUGUUUUGACUCUCAAUCCAGUUGUGAAUUAGCAGCUGAAAAUUAAUGUAGGGCUCGUCUGUCCUGGAAAUGGAUGAUGGUCAGCUGCAAGAAGUGGCAGUAAACACUGCAUAUUUAGCACCUUACUCCUUUGGUUUUGGAUUGGUCCAGAUUGCAUGUGAAAAUAAGGAUAGUGUAAUGAACCCUUAUCCAUGCUUUACAACAACUAUUUAAGAUUAUAUAUCUUUGACACAUUUGUACUGAAAAAAGUAAAUCCAAGUGUUUUGUUCUUUCCUGAGCUUUAUAAAUGCUGUUCAGAAAUCAAAUGCACCUGUUUCCUCAAAUCAGAGUAUUUUAAAGGUUGCUUAAUAAGUUCUAUCAGAAGCCCUUUAUUUUGGUAGAGUGGUGAUUUAUUUUACUACAAUAUCUGCUAAGUGAGAUGUUGUCCGUCACUUAAAGUAGCAUGGUUGACCCAGCUGGUUCUUUAGCUCCUUUCCAUCCUCAAAGCAGGUCUUGCUAGCCAGCCAUUCUGUAUGUUGUCUUAGUGAGAUGUUAAACACUGACAGACUACUGAUAGUCUUUGUCUGGUCUGAAAAGCUCUCUUUUAAUGCAUUGGCCAGAAUGUAGGUGAAAUGGCAUGCCUGGCUUUAAAUAUUCAAAAUAUGCCCAAGCUUGUCCCUAACAGCUGUUACGGCUCUUUAUUUUAAUGAUGUAAGCCUGGGUACUUCUGGCUUGUCUAAUCAGCUGCUUGUUAAAAAGCUGACUGCCACCAGGGUAGUAGCGGCUGGUUUCAGGGAGCGUGAGUCGUGAUGCUGACUUACAUGAAUUAGGUAGUUGUAAUUCAGUGGCGCUGACACAAAGAAAUUAAUGCGUGCUCAUGUCUCCUGCCCAGCCCUUUGCAGCUGUUUGUCAGAUUGGAAGCUGCGCUUGGUGAGGGUGGUCUCUAGGGCUGCUGUGCACCUAUGUGUCAACUGGGAUGUUGUCUUAUCUGUUUAAAAGCUCAUUGAAGUUGCAUAUCCCUUUCUUAAUUCUUUCUUUAUCCUCCUCUGGCUAGCUGUCCAGGCUUUUGUGAACAAACCAGAAUUGAUUAUACCAAUUAGAUAGGCCCAGGGGAGAUUUUGAAAUGUAUAUAUUUUUUUUUUCUUUGCUAUUAGAUAGCUCUUUGCUACUCCUAAUGGUUUGUGCAUCCGUGCUUUGAUGCAUUUGUUUUCUUCCUUUUAACUGUUCUCAGUACAUUUGUUAUUUAGGUAACAUGGUUACCUAAAUAUGUAAACAUGGUAUCUAAAAUAUGUUACCUAAAUAACAUGUGAUCUUUAGGUAACAUAGUAGAUGUCAAUGUUUAGCUUGAAAUGUCUAACUUAAUAUUAAACUGGCGAUAUUUCCAGCUGCUGUUAAAGUGCUGUUUGCCUUCCCCCCCUGAAUUGUAUGCAUCUGCAUGAAAGAUGAAUUAAAUGUCACUUGCUGUGCUUCUAGAAGUUGAAUGGUCCAAAUAAAGACUUUGUAUACUCAGAAAUAAGUCAAACUACAAGCUGUUGCAGGCUUUUGAAGGAGUCAGGUUGUUUGAGCUGUUUCUUGGUUAUAACUUCCUUAUCUUGAAACAAAUUCAGUAAAAAAGAAAAAUACGAUUUGGUUAAGAGGCAGUGGGAAACUGUGGUUUGACAUGUAAAGCUAUGACUGUUCAUGUGUGUCUUACCAAACAGAAUGCAUGCUACAGCACAUAGCUUUCCUUUCUUGAAAAUAUUUGUCUUUUUCCUACAGAAGAAGCAUAUGGUGUCCUUUUCUGACCAACUUCCUCUUUCUUGACAAAAGUUCAGUAGUAACUUAUGUUCUGAAGAAAUGGAAACUCUACAGAAAGUUGACUUGACAAUUGAGAAUCUUGACUGUUGCGGUAGUUUUGUAGUAUUGACUCAAUAUGCCUGUUCUAAUAAAAAUAAGCACAUCUCA